rnacentral:lncRNA from 1 species
CCCCCUCCCCGCUGCUAGAGACGCCAUGAAGGUCCGGUUCCAACUCUUCUUCUCCCCUCGAUCGGGAUGCUCUGCUCUUCCACCCCAUCUUCAAUAUCGGAGUAUUGCUCUAGCUGCUGCUGAAUUAACCUGGAUUUCCCUGUUCAUUUCGGUCAGGAGCAGGAGCAGUUGCUGCUCGCGACCUCCUUCUUGAUUAGGAUCACCAAGAUGACCUUGUGUGCUGUGCUGCCGCUCGGGACCCUCCCUAUGCUUCUCCUCGCUCGUCCGGGUCCAGCUUAGUCUCGCCGACCCCAUCGCCUGCUCGUCCCCGUCAAACUGUGCAUAUCUGUAUACUUUCAGCUUGUAUACUUUGACAUGUGCAUACUUUAUUCUUAAUUGUGCAGAAACUUCUUUUGUGAUGCAACUAAUGGGGAAAUACAAAAAAACACAUAAUGCCGAUUGCUUUGAGCCUUUGAGUUAGAAGGUAUACCCAUCUCUGAUAGGCUUCCAUGUAUGUGCCCCUUCCAUACCAGACGUUAGUUCUAAUUCUAUGUCCUUAGCUGCAUCCAUUUGUUCACUUGUUUCAUUGAAGGUUAAUUCCUGGAAGCAACAUUACAAAGAAUAAUGGGUAUGCAUGAUAUAAUAUACUUACAAUUAGACCUAUUUGGGACAUAGUUGGAAAAGAAAAGAUGCCUCUGUCACUUCGAAGUCUUCGGAAUCACUAGAAUGCGUGCUCUGCUUUUUCUCCACUUCUUUGUCGGCUGUUCCAUUUGAUUCUCUCAGCGUGUCCCCUAGAGUGUCUGCCCCUUCGGUGCCAAAUGUCUGUGCUAAUUCCUCAUCCAGAGCUGACUGCAUUUGUUCAAGGUUAAUUCCUGAGAGCAAGAUUACAAAGAAAAAUCAGUAUGCAGGGUUUAAUAUAAUUAUAAUUAGAACUAUUUGGGACAUAUAGUUGGAAAAGAAAAUAUGCCUCUGUCACCUCGGAAUCUGUGGACCGCGUGCUCUUCUUUUUCUCCACUUCAUCUUUGUCGGCUAUUCCAUUUAAUUCUGCAAGCUUGUCCCCUACAGUUUCUGCCCCUUCGGUGUCGGAUGUUUGUGCUAAUUCAUUGUCUUGAGCUGGCUGCAUUUCUUCACUUGUUUCCUUGACGGUUAAUCCCUGAGAGCAACAUUACAAGGAAUAAUCCAUAUGUAGUAUUAUAAUAUAAUGAGAAUUAGAACUAUUUGGGAUAGUUGAAAUAGAAGCAUGCCUUUGCCACUUCGCAAUCUGUGGCUGGUGUGCUCUUCUUUUUCUCUACUUCAUCGCCGUCGUCUAUUCCAUUUGAUUCUUCCUCGCUGCGUACCUGAAACACACAUAAUAUAAUAUUACCUGGUACUUAUUGAUUCUUCAUUGCUUAGUAACUAAAACACACGAUAAUAUAAUAUUCUCCAAUACUUAUAAAAGAGCAAAUAUUAUGAAGACGAAUAAAGAAUCGUAGGUAUGAUAUUAUUAUACUACAGAUUACAUAUUGUUUUGUCCCUCCUGCAUAAGAAUAAUAAUAAUGGCAUGUGAAAUUAAAAACCGCCUUUGUCAGCUUGGGGUUUGUAUGCUUGUGUUAGGGUAUCAACUCAUCAAUCUGCAUAUUUUCUGUAUCUUCCAUGAUGCCUUGUUCUUCUAUUGCCUUUGUUGACUUGGUGUUCAUAUCCUCAUCUUUGGUUAUCAUGCAUUCAAUCUGCAUAUUUUGUGUAUGCUCGUCCUUCGCUCCUUUGUUGAUGUUUUCCUAAAAAUCAAAGCAUAUAUUAUUAUCACGCGGUACACAUUCAGCCCUUAUGUUUUGUUAGCUUGAAAAUCGAUCUUAUAUGUUGGGACGUAGGGAGUACAUCACAACUGUAUGCACAUAUUUGCUUAUGUUUACUUAACAUAGUGGUAUCAGGACAUCCUUUCCAACUAAAUUUCACUAUCUAUUUCUUUUUUUAAUUGUUCAGUCAACUUUUCGAGACUAACUUGCGUGACUAUUCUCUCUAGUAAUCAGGUGGAAAGGACGGCAGCAAUAUGCUUAUUUUGCUCGCGGGCUUGUCAUUGUCGCUUUAAUAUUCCCUCUCUAUUUUGUGCAUACCGCUCCCUUUCCAUCCAAUUCUUAAUCUCAUCAUGGCCUGAGUAGAUGAAGCAUAGAUCAUUAUAUAGCAAUAUAACUGGGCCAUGUAGGAUGAAGUUCAUGUUCAUUACCUUGUGAUACAGCCAGCUGUGUUUGUGCCCCACUGCUCUCGGCAGAGGCAAUUUUCUUCUGUUUAUAGGCCUCACGUCGUCUCUUAUUAAUCUCAUCCUUGUUUUGUGCAUACCGCUCUCUAUCCCCAUGCCUUUUUACUUCUUUAGGGUCUGCAAUCAAUGGCACAAUUCAGCAGUUGAGCUACAAAAACUGAAAUUGAGUGCUUGUGUAAUGCUCAUCACCCAAGGACUGGGUGUUGCUUAUAUCCUGGAACGGGUGCGCGUCCCAUUGGGAUUGGUCGGGACCAUACGAAGUCCUUCAACCCUGUGAAUGUCAAGAAUGUAUCACACAAUUGUAACGGAAGGAAUAGUAUUAGCACAACGCAGACAGAGUACAGUUUUAUGUUCAACUUCAUCCCACUGUUUACCAUCAAAGCUUUCUUAAUUAUGGUGCCUCUGCAACCAAUUGAAUUCAUUUUGCACUAUUCAUGUAGGUAUAUCUCAGGGUGACUUUAUUUGUGUUCAUAUAAAUUGGAACUGAGCAUUGAACGAUCCAUAUGCAGCUUCAUGAGGCAUUUAGGUGAAGUCAGUACAAUGCUCAUUUGCCAAGGACUCAUGGAACGACGUCAGGUUUAGGUGAGGUACGCACAUCAGGAAUCAUGUUAGCAUGUGGUCAUGCCAUAAGUCACCAGUUCCUACAUUUUCCUUCUAUAAUUGCUCUUGUUUUUCAUAAAUUCAAUCAAAGCAAUUGAUGGAUCACAUGAACAGGUUGACAAAUGAGCAUGCAUCUGCGGAGCAGAGGGGUCUUCUAGCCUAACAAAGUCUUGGUGGCAGCGGCGUGUAAAAGACUUACGGACUUCAGAUCAGAGAAGACCAUGCACCUGUGCCGGCGAAGAGCUCGUCAUCGCCGCCAUGGCAGGGCGCCUGGGCGGCUGCACCCGUGUUGGGGAAUAGCUCGCCGUCGUCGGGUGACUCGGCGAGCUCGUCGUCGCGGCCGUCGUCGGGUGCCUCGGCGGCUGCGCAGGGCAGCGAUGGCGCACGUAAGCUGGACGCCUGGAUUGAUUCCGUGGAUAUACUCCCGCUGAGUUAGCACAUUUGUUUCCGUAUAUGACUCUCCGUGUAAAUUGGACGUGGGAUGUAUCCUUUCUGCGGGCGUGGGAUGUUUCCUGGUGUGGGCGUUGCCAGAGUUUUCGUCCGCCCUGGAAAUCUGCUAAACGCACUUCAGUUGUGGGUUGGUGUAAUCGUGAUGGCUAGAUCUAAUUAAGCGAUUUGAUCGUGAGGCUCCAAUUGAUCGGGAAUGUUAUGUGUAGAUUAGGCUGGGUGUGUUUAGCGUUGAAUAUGUUCUCUUGUUUAAUAGUAGUAGAGAUGAUCCACCUUUCCGCUGUUCCUAUGCAAUGCUCGGCAUCAAUGAUAAAUGACACAAGUUUUAUGUUGGUUUGGCUCAAUCUAUGUAAGAUUCCUUGUCGAUUGAUCACAGCUAAGUUUUCACCCUGGAAUGGCUACAAAAAUUACG